CUCCCCGGUGACUCACCGGAGGUUGACAGAAAUCCCUUUGCUACCGGUUUACAAACCCUGCCCGAGGUAACAAAAUCUGCAGGUGGCAGCCUGAAAAAUGCGGCUAGAACUAGUGCGGGAGAAAUUCUGGUCGCCAGGAAAGUUCCGGCUCUGCAGGGAAAGGGCUGAUGAAAAUUGGCAGUGCCAAGGGGCCCCUGAGCAGCCUCCCUGGGAGGUGGGCAGGGAGGCUCCUUGGGUCCAGCUGGAUAAGCAGGGGGAUCACAGCUGAUCCACCCCGGUGUAACAUUGGUGGCUGGGUUCUUUAUCCCCAGGACCGAUUGAUGAGAGUGAAACUGGUUUUAUCGUGUUUGAGCACUCCAGAUGUGGAUAUUUGGGAAGCACCUCUUUGGCCACUGCAGGAUGAGCUGUGACCACCGGGUUGUCUCCUGGCAAGUGAUUAUCCAUCCAGGCUGUGCCACAAUUAGUGAAGCUGAGGUGGGAUUUCGAGGAGAAGAAUUCCUGCUUGUUUCCUGGGUUGGUGUUUCUAUUACAAGCCCCAAAAAGUUAAAACUCUGUGGGGUUUUAAACUCUCAUCCGUGAGGAGACAGAGCUGCUGCUGUUCCCUCUCCGUGCACAGCUACAAAAGCAAAUUAAAAAUUGGUUUUGGUGGUUAAACAUU